CAGGUGCAGUACAGGUACAGGUACAGUACAGGUGCAGGUGCAGUACAGGUACAGUACAGGUACAGGUACAGUACAGGUACAGGUACAGUACAGGUGCAGUACAGGUCCUCACAGCCAUGCUCGAGGAACAGUCCUGCCCUCCUGCCCUCCUGCCCUCCUGCCC